GAGUUUGAUCCUGGCUCAGGAUGAACGCUGGCGGCGUGCUUAACACAUGCAAGUCGAACGAAGCGCCUUAUUUGAUUUUCUUCGGAACUGAAGAUUUGGUGACUGAGUGGCGGACGGGUGAGUAACGCGUGGGUAACCUGCCCUGUACAGGGGGAUAACAAUCAGAAAUGACUGCUAAUACCGCAUAAGACCACAGCACCGCAUGGUGCAGGGGUAAAAGCUCCGGUGGUACAGGAUGGACCCGCGUCUGAUUAGCUGGUUGGUGAGGUAACGGCUCACCAAGGCGACGAUCAGUAGCCGGCUUGAGAGAGUGAACGGCCACAUUGGGACUGAGACACGGCCCAAACUCCUACGGGAGGCAGCAGUGGGGAAUAUUGCACAAUGGGAGAAACCCUGAUGCAGCAACGCCGCGUGAGUGAAGAAGUAUUUCGGUAUGUAAAGCUCUAUCAGCAGGGAAGAAAGUGACGGUACCUGACUAAGAAGCCCCGGCUAACUACGUGCCAGCCGCCGC
rnacentral:rRNA from 1 species